UCAGUUGUUUUCCCCCAUUUCCCCACAUCUCCAUCCGCCUCACUCAUCUCUCGAACCACCAAUAGCUUUCGGAAACAAGCAGUAGUGGCACGCCAUCAGGAGCGGCCACCUUCAACAAAAACACCAGCAACUCUCUCAUCUCCUCUAACCUACAGCUGCCGGACCCCCUUCUCCAUGUUAUCACCACCAGAUUCUAGCCUUCUUCUGCCUAGAACACCUAGCUCCUCCACUUCCAAGCCAAAACAGACCAGCCACAACCCCUCAAUUUUUAAAAACUAACAACGCCUCUUAGAAAAAAAGGGAAUGGAAACACACACACACACUAAAAAGAAGAAUGAAAGAGACCUGAAAUUGGUACCUAAAACAGUCCCUAUAACCUACAUAAAACCAGCUCUAUUUUAUCUCAAAACAACCCCCGUAAUUUCUGAAAAUCAGCCAAAAACACAGCUUAAGCUUUUCCAAAAUGUAGCAGAAAAACAACCACAAAAUCCAUAGUGUGAACUCCAUUUUCCUUCGAGUUUUAGUUGCAUUCGAAUAACAACGUUCAAUGCGUCGAGGUCACUGUUGCAAAGUUCAAUUAAUAUCACGUUGUAGUCAAUUUGAUUUGAAUUUUUACGUUUGGAGCAUAUUCAGCAAAAGGUCCAUUUCUUUCCUCAUUUCAAUCAUUAUUUUAGCAAUUUUAGUUUUACUUCUGCUAUUUUUGUUUGUGAAAAAAUGUAUGUUAAGCUCUUUGCUGGGUAAUUUUAUAUGACUCUUUUGAAAUAUUAGAGUGUCGACUUGAUAAGUUUGCUCACCUUGUUGGAAGUUUGCUGGACAAGUUUUGGGUUAAAGACACCAUAUCUUGCUUGGGUAUUUUUUUUAGAUCGUAAAUUUGCUUCAAAUUAUGUGGGAGUUGGUAAUAUCAUUUACUAGAAGUUGUUUCAUAGACUUGAAAUCGUCUUAUUCCUACUUCUCAUAUUCACUUGGACUGUUUAACAAAUUGGACCUGGACAAAGUUGGGCCGUAUAAUAACUCACAUGAAACAUACAAUUAUUACAACCUUCCAUUCUGUCAUGCUUCUGAUUCUCACAAAUGGGGUGUCCUUGGUGAAGUUUUGGGUAGAAAUGAGCUUAUUUAUAGUCAAAUUGACAUAAGGUUUCAAAAUAUGGGAGAGAGAACGUUGCAAUUUGUGAUUCUAUUUUGUUCAAAAUUUGAAUAAGUUAAAUAACUCGUGAACACUGCUAAUAUACUUUUAGGCACACAUUUAAUCUAUUAUCAUGAUUGUGUACACGUUCACGUGACAUAAUUAUGAUUUCCAAAUUAAAUCCAGGUAUGCGUUCGUGCAACUUCGGCCAAAUAAUCUUAUAUUAACAAAGCUUUAUUAAUUGUGUACACGUACGCAUGACAUGAUUCAUGAAGCGUCGAACGAAAUGAGUACACGUACGCGUGACUCGUUUCAGGAUAAUUUCUUAAUUACGAGCGGUAAAGUUAAAAUGUACACAGGUUCUAAAAUGAGUAAUUAAACAAUUUAAUUAAGCCAGGUAUGUUUAAAGUGACCGUGCUAAAAUCGCAGAAUUCGGGAAUGCCUAACACCUUAUCCCGGGUUAACAGAAUUCCUUACCUGGUCUUCUAGUUUUGCGGACUUUAAAACAGAGUCAAAUUUUCUCGAUUUGGGAUUUAAAAUAAACUGGUGACUUGGGACACCAUAAAUUAUCCCAAGUGGCAACUCUGAAUCUAGUAAAUAAUCUCAUUUCGAUUAUUGUCAUUUUAAUUGGAAAAACUCCCAUAUCCCCUCAGGAAAAAGGAGGUGUGACAUCAACCAUCUAUUGUUGAUUUACCUUAAUUUUGGUCUAUAAUCUGCUACUUAUCACUUGAAACCUCUUAUGUAAUAUAUUGUCACUAGGGCUCAUGUCUCGUUAGGGAACAUCUAAAGUUAUUUGCCUGAUCCACCUAGGGGAGAUACUAUACUUCAAUAACUGUAUUUCUUGGUAUCCCAAUGUGAUUCACCUCAUGGGGGUAUUCUAAUCCUGUGCAAUUCAUGAAAUCCCUUUUCUUUGAAUCAUUAACCAAUCAAAGGCCUUAACGUUAUCCUCUUAUCUAUCACAAUUACACCAUUAUUCUACUAGCAGGGCAAUAUUUCAUCUCUUUAAAUUGCUCAUAGUCUCAGACUCCUCUGAGUUCAUUCAGGCUAUACUGCGCUUUCUAUAACUUACGGAAUUCAUCAACCCUCUUGUUUUGAUGGACUUAAUCCCGAGGUCUUGCCUAUUCUCAUCACCUUCUCGCCCAGAUUUUUCUUAUUCUUACUCUUGUCUACCUAAACAUUAUCACUCUAUCAUACUUUAGUUUGCGACCUACCCAUAUCUAUUUAUACUACUCACAACCAUCCUUUACCUUGCUAGCACCAUAGAUUUCCUUAUAUCACUUUGGAACCUCAAGCAAGACAUCACACUGUCUCUAUCUCUUCUUUACUCUCUUAACUAGACAUCUCGAUACCUGGAAACUAUAGGGUUGAAGAUAUGCUACUGACGACACUAGCAUCAUUUUUGGAUACUGAAUCACAGCUCUUCUAGUCCUCUACCUAAAAUAUGGACUAUUCACAACCUUUUGCACUUGAGUAUCUCGUACCUUAUUCACCUUUACCUUUCUUAUCUUUAAAUAACGCAUUGUAUCUUCUAUCACCUUCAUAACCUCCCUUCCACAUAGGUGGAAUUCACAUCCACACCUUAAAGACUUACUAUAAUUCUUGCACCUCUGAUGCACACAUAAUCUGGCAGGAGCUUCACACUAACUUCUUAUGAGGCUGGUACUCUUCUAACUAGCUUUAUCGUAGAGCUGUUAUAGAAUAUGACUACCUUACUAUCUCUCUUGUACCUCUGAUAUGAAGAGUAAUUUUACAAUGUUCUGAAUUAUGAUUUUUAUACUCAUCGGGGUCUGAUAACCAGACCCCUAAUUCACUUAGCUGAUGUAGCUCUUUGUUUCUUCUUCUAUCUCAGCCUUUAAGUAGGCUUACGCUAUCUUCUGAUCUGCGGCUCAGGGUAUUAGUUAUUACUUUAUCCCCCCGUGGAUGCUAUGGAACAUCCAGGAUAUAACCUUCUAGCAAUUCAAGCUUUUGUAUGUCACGUAGACUCAAUUCUUUCUUUCAACUUAUACUGAAGUCUCCUAUAGCUGUAUCAUUAUUAACAUAUAUGCCGCAUAUAUAACACUAUGAAAUCUUAAGUGUGUUCAUAACGUAACUAACUCUGGGUCAUAGAUCGAAUAAUUCCUUUCGUGCCUUCUUGAGGUUAAGUGACGGUGAUGGGUUUGAUUAUGGUCAGCUAUUAUGAUAAGAGAGGUUGUUAUGGGCAUAUAUGUGAUGUGUCAUGUCGUGUGGUUGUAUCCUGUGUGGGUAGGCAUAAGUUUUCGCAAUUGGUUGAGGCUAAUACUGUGUGUUGAUGUAGGAAUCAGACAUUUUGGAAAUGAUCGAGAGGUGAGAAAUUUGGUUCUAAGAUUAUCAGCAUGGGUGGAAGGAAUAAUUUUCAGUUAGGAUAGUGUCGUCGGGCCUAUGUGGAUUGUGGGUGACGUGGGAUCACAUGUGGGUGUAUGUAUGAUAGCUUACUCAGUGAUUUGAUGACUUCAGAAUGGUUCUUGGCACGUUCAAGGAUGAACGUUAGUUUACAAGGGGGAGGAUGUAACGACCCGGCCGAUUGUUUUAAGAAUUGGCGUCCUGUUCGGUGACUUAAGGUCUGGAGCAACUUCGUAUUAUAUGUUAUGACUUGUGUGUGUGGCUGAGUUCAGUUUUCGGAUGAUUCAAGGUCAAUUUGGAAGAAUGAUUCUUGUUUUAGAAGCUUAAGCAGUAAGAGUUGACCGGAAUUUGACUUUUGUGCAGACGACUUCGAAAUGGAGUUUUGAUGAUUCCAAUAGCUUCGUAUGGUGAUUUGGACUUAGGCGUGCAUCCGAAUUUGGAGGUCCGUAGGAUAAUUUGAAUCAUUUCGGCGAAAAUUGGAAAGUUGAAGUUUUAGAAGUUAAGAGGUUUGAUGAGACUUGACUUUGGUGAUAUCAGGGUCGGUAUGCAAUUUCGAGAGUUGGAUUAGCUUUGUUAUGUCAUUUGGAACUUGCAUGAAAAAUUUGACAUCAUUUCGGGUUUAUGUGACAUGUUUCGGCAUGAGUUUUUAAAGUUGGAAGAUUUAAAAGUUCAUAAGUUCGAUACGAGGUGCGAUUCAUAGUUUCUACGUUACUUGAUGUGAUUUAAGGCCUCGAGUAGGUUCGCGAUGUGUCACGACCCUAAAACGAACCCGAUCGUGAUGGCGCCUAUCGUGAAACUAGGCCAGCCGACACAAACCCCAAAACCAACCAAACAUUUAUAAUAAGUCAUUUAAAACCAUUAAUUAGCUAAAAUCCCAUAGAAUAAGGUAGAAUAAACAGUGCGGAAACAAAACACAGCCCAACAUCCGGGUGUCACCAGUCAUGAGCAACUACAACUCAUCUAGGAAUAAGAAAAGACAACAUAGUCUGAAAACAAAUACUAAAACAAAGCUAAAUAGGAUGGGAAGGAGAAGCGCUGGGCUGUGAACGCUAAGCAGCUACCUAGUCGACUCAGGAGACCUGCUGGAAAGCUGAUCAACACUCGCUANNNNNNNNNNNNNNNNNNNNNNNNNACAGCAUAACGCUACAACAAACAGUAUAAGUCCAAAACAAUGCGGUAAACCAAUAAAUUCGUAAAAACAUCUCAGCUCAGUAAAACCUUUUUAAAAAAUCUUUCAAUAGUUUCAAACUAGUGAUGAAAACAGUGAGAAAAGAAUAGAAACGUAAACAGCUCUCGGGCAAAAUAUCAAUAGAACCAGCCCCUCCGGCUAUCUCACAAUCACUCGUAAUUAGCCCAUCGGGCAAUAACAUGAAACAACGACAGCCCCUCGGGCAAUAUCACAUCUCACACUGGGUACCCGCGCUCACUGGGGGUGUUCAGACUACGGAGGGGCUCCUACAGCCCAAGCGCUAAAACAAACCAUCUCGUGGCAUAAUCAAACUGGCCCUCGGCCUCAUAACAAGUUACCCUUGGCAUAACAAAUCAGGCCCUCGGCAUCAAAAUCAUGAAUCAGUACAACUUGCUUCGGCACAUAGCCCGAUCCUAUAAUAUCCUCACACCACAUGCCCUCGGCCUCACUCAGUCAGCAAUCUCUCAAGCCACUCGAGAAACAGUAAAACAUGAUGUUUAACCCAAAAUAUCAUUUAAACAUCAAAACGGAGUAAAUAUGCCUGAGUUAUGAAAACAGUAGAAUGCAGAAUGACUGAAUACAAAGAUGAAGUCAAAACAGUGAGGAAUAGUAGUAAAAAUCCCAUAAGGGUCCAAAACAAUUGGCACGAGGCCCAAAUAUGGCAUUCGGCCCAAAAUAUGGUAAUACUUUUCAAAACACAAUGAUAUCAAACAGUUUUCAAUCAAAUACGCGACUUAAUAGUCAUACGAGACCGACUAGGUCACAAUCCCAAUGGUGCACGACCCCACGCCGGUCAUCUAGCACGUGUGUCACCUCAAAAUAGCANNNNNNNNNNNNNNNNNNNNNNNNNNNNNNNNNNNNNNNNNNNNNNNNNNNNNNNNNNNNNNNNNNNNNNNNNNNNNNNNNNNNNNNNNNNNNNNNNNNNNNNNNNNNNNNNNNNNNNNNNNNNNNNNNNNNNNNNNNNNNNNNNNNNNNNNAUUACUUACCUCAAUCCGGUCCAAACUCUAGCCCGCGAUUCCUUUGCCUCUCGACUCGGCCUCUGGAUGCUCCAAAUCUAGCCAUAAAUAGAUUCAUACCAUCAAAAUAUGCUAAGGGAACAAAACCCACUCGAAAAUAACCAAUUUACAUCAAAAAUGCCGAAAUUGGUCAAACCAGAACCCCAGUCCCACGUCUCGGAUUCUGAUAAACUAGAAUCCUUACACUCUCACGAGUUCAUACAUACCAAAUACAUCAAAAUGAGACCACAAACGACCCCUAAAAUCCCUAGAUCAAGGUCUCUAAUUCCAAGCCCUAUCUCUCUAAUGUUAAUCCUUAAUUUCCAUAAAUUUCAAGCCUAAUCAGUGAAAUAACACCAUAAAAACGAGUUUUAGUUCCAAGAAUCUUACCUCCAUGAAUUUCCCUUGAAUUCCCUCUUCAAAAUCUCCCAAAAAGCUCCAAUCCCGGAUAAAAAUGGUGGAAACAACUCAAAUUUCGUGAAGGCCAUUAUUUAUAUGCUCUGCCCCAGUAAUACCGCAUCUGCGGUCAAAACUCUCGCACCUGCGGAAAUCACUUAUCCACCCCAAGUCUCCACAUUUGCGGCUCCAGUCCUUUUCCACUUUGGCUGCAUUUGCGACGCCUUUUCCGCUUUUGCGAGCCCUCACCUACGGUUCCAUAUCCGCAGGUGCGGUUAUGACAGGAACUUUAGCAGCUGAAACAUGUUCAAACUCAACUCCAAUAUUUCCGACAACCUCUAGAAAUCAUCCCGAGGCCCCCGGGACCUCAAUCAAAAGUACAAACAAGUCACAUACAACUAUUCAAACUUGUAACAACCUUCGGAACACUCAAAACAACGUCGGAACACCAAAUCAUCAUCGGAUUCAAGCCUAAGAAGUUCCAAAACUUCCAAAUUUCGGCUUUCGAUCAAAAAGUCUAUCCAACCUCAUUCGAAUGACCUGAAAUUUUGCACACACGCCCCAAAUGACACAACGGUCCUACUCCAACUUCCGAAAUCCUAUUCCGACCCCUAUAUCAAAAUCUCCGCUGCCAAUCGGAAAACGCCAAAAUUCCAAUUUCAGCAAUUCAAGCCUAAAUAUCUAUUCUAGACCUCCAAAACAUAUUCCGAUCAUGCUCCCAAGUCCCAAAUCACCUCACAAGCUAUCCGAAUCAUAAAAACUAAAUUCCUAGAUCAUUUACUCACAAGUCAACUUUCGAUUAACUUUUCCAACUAAAAGGCCAACUUAAGAGACUAAAUGUCCCAGUUCUUUACAAAACCACUCCGAACACAAACUAACCAAUGCGAUGCAAUGAAAUACAGCUGAACAACAUAUAAAGAAGCAGAAAUGGGAGAAACGAAGCGGUAACUCAUGAAACGACUGGCUGGGUCAUUACACGAUGUGUUAUGGAACUUAUUGUUAUAUUUGAAUGGUGUCCCGACUGGCUCGAAUGAGUUUGGAUGUGUUUUGGAUCGUUUUGGAAAUUUUGUUAAGGCUGGUUUUGGCAGUCACUGAUGCCAUCGCACAUGUGAUGUAUUUGGUCGUAGGUGUGCAACCGCAUAGGCGAAGUAGUGGUUGCAGAAGCGAAUUGGCAGGAUCAGGG
rnacentral:lncRNA from 1 species